UGGCCUUUGGUUUAAAGUUUCUUUAAGUCAAUAUCCUAAUGGCGACGUUGGCAAUAAUGACGGAAGGCUAGACGUUUCCAAUUUCACGCGUAUGAUUUUGAGUCUUCUUCUUAUAUAUGAUUCAUAUCGUGUUACAAAUUAUUAAGUUGGUAAGCUAUAUUUAAAUUAAUCUGAAUCCAUAAAAUAUAUAUAUAUAUAUAUAUAUAUAUGCAAAACUAUUAUUUCUCAUAUUAUAGUUUGCAUCAUUAAUUUUUCCCAUAAAAAGAAAAAUCAAAUUAAUACUUUUUUAAUUAAAAUAAAAGUACAAUCCAAAAAUUCCCAAUCCUCUCCCCUAAAAAGGUUUUCCCUAUAAUUUUCACCAAUGAACACCCCCCUCAUAAAACCUUUCCAAGAAUAAAUACACAACUAUUUGUGAUUAAAAAAUUAAAAAAAAAAAAAAAAAAAGGGCAAUACUAAUACUACUACUUCUGUUUAUCGGGAUUUGUCAUCCAAUAUCACACUGUUCAAUCUUUUGUAUUUUAACCUGUAUAGAUAUUGGUGUUACAAUUAACUAACGGGGCUAUAUAAAUAUAAAGCUCCUCUUAAGAGAUGAGAUCCAUGAGGAGUUUAAUUGGAGGGCAGCAAAGAUGGCUCAGAAGCUCUCUCUUAUCCUCGUUAUUGCCCUCUUAAUUUGUGUCCAGAUGGGAGCUGCCAACCGGGAAAUCAUCCUGUCCGAAGAGAAGGAAAGACACCUCAAACAGUACUUCCAUGUGCGUAAACCCCUGCGCCCUCCUCAUUGCCCACCAAAGGAACCAGUUCCUCCGAAGCGGAGGCCGAGUCCAUCACCACCUAGGCGAUGCCCCCCGGCCUAGACUCCAGGCUGAAACUGGACCCCAUGCAGUUACUUAUGUUAAUUUAAAGAGCUGUAAUUAUUAGUUGUGUUCUUCAUUCUCGAGUUACUUGUUCUUUGAAUUAUUUUUUUAUUUGCAGCUGAUCCCGAUUUAAAAGGCUCUGAAAAUAAGCUGUUCAUUUUAAAAAUGCAAUGGAUAAUAAAUUAUUCAAA